CCUACGUGGGGCUGCAGUAGGGAAUAUUGCUCAAUGGGGGAAACCCUGAAGCAGCAACGCCGCGUGGAGGAUGACACUUUUCGGAGCGUAAACUCCUUUUGUUAGGGAAGAACAAUGACGGUACCUAACGAAUAAGCACCGGCUAACUCCGUGCCAGCAGCCGCGGUAAUACGGAGGGUGCAAGCGUUACUCGGAAUCACUGGGCGUAAAGGACGCGUAGGCGGAUUAUCAAGUCUCUUGUGAAAUCCUAUGGCUUAACCAUAGAACUGCUUGGGAAACUGAUAAUCUAGAGUGAGGGAGAGGCAGAUGGAAUUGGUGGUGUAGGGGUAAAAGCCGUAGAGAUCACCAGGAAUACCCAUUGCGAAGGCGAUCUGCUGGAACUCAACUGACGCUAAUGCGUGAAAGCGUUGGGAGCAAACAGGAUUAGAUACCCUAGUAGUC
rnacentral:rRNA from 1 species